rnacentral:misc_RNA from 1 species
AAUAAAAAGAAAAGUCCUCGCCUCAACCCUUAACUCUUGUGGGACAAAGAUAGGGCAAGCGAUCCCCCUUCUGGACCUGUCCCGUUAUUAUUCCUAAAUAUUUUUUGAUUCCGUCUUUUCAGCAAUCUGUACCUCAAUACAUUCUUAUAUGGCAGCAUAGCUCUUGAUUGGAUUCCCCACACACCCCCACCCCCCCCCUUUGAAGAUGUUGUAUUUUGAUUCCUUUGAGCCUUUGUGCACUUGUUUUUACUUAUUCUAUUUAUUUAAUUUAUGCAGGAUGCUGUACAAGAUAUUGAGU